CCUGGUUGAUCCUGCCAGACCCGACUGCUAUUUGGGUAAGACUAAGCCAUGCAAGUUUAAUGGUACCACUUGGUACCAUAGCGAACUGCUCAGUAACAAGUGAUUAACUUACCCUUCAGAGGAGAAUAAUCUCGGGAAACUGAGGCUAAUACUCCAUAUUUGGAAUCGGCUGGAAUGCUAUUCCAUUGAAAGAUAUACCAAAAUGUAGGUUGUUCGCUGAAGGAUAGGAUCGCUUUUGAUUAUGGUUGUUGGUGAGGUAAUGGCUCACCAAGCCUAUGAUCAAUAAGGGACGUGAGAGCGUGAGCCCUGAGAUGGAGACUGAGACAAUGCUCCAGGCCUUACGAGGUGCAGCAGGCGCGAAACCUUUACAAUGCACGGAAGUGUGAUAAGGUUACCCAAAGUGACAUUGAUGCAAAAGCAAUUUGUCUGUUGGAUGUGUUUAAUGGGCCAUCCGAGGAAGGAGAGGGCAAGGCUGGUGCCAGCCGCCGCGGUAACACCAGCUCUUCAAGUGGUUGGGACUUUUAUUGGGCUUAAAGCGUCCGUAGCCUGUUUGAUAAGUUCCUGGUUAAAUCCGGCAACUUAAUUGUUGGACUGCUAGGAAUACUGUCUUACUAGAGGGCGGGAAAGGUCUGGGGUACUCCGGGGGGAGCGGUGAAAUGUGAUAAUCCUCGGGGGACCACCAGUGGCGAAGGCGCCAGACUGGAACGCGCCUGACGGUGAGGGACGAAAGGUAGGGGAACGAACGGGAUUAGAUACCCCGGUAGUCCUACCCGUAAACGAUGCGCUCUAGAUGUCGGUUCAGCUCCGAGCUGUGCCGGUGCCACAGGGAAACCGUUAAGAGCGCCGCCUGGGAAGUACGCUCGCAAGAGUGAAACUUAAAGGAAUUGACGGGGGAGCACCACAAGGGGUGAAGCCUGCGGUUUAAUUGGACCCAACGCCGGGAAACUUACCGGAGGCAACAGCAGAAUGAUGGUCAGAUUGACGAUCUUACUUGACGAGCUGAGUGGAGGUGCAUGGCCGUCGCCAGUUCGUGCCGUGAGGUAUCCUGUUAAGUCAGGCAACGAACGAGACCCUCGCGCUUAAUUGCCAGCAAGGAGUUACGACUCCGUUGGGAACAUUAAGCGGACUGCCAUCAUAUAGAUGGAUGAAGGAGUGGGCUACGGCAGGUCAGUAUGCCCCAAAUCUUCCGGGCCACACGCGGGCUGCAAUGGUAUGGACAGUGAGCUGCGACUCCGAAAGGAGGAGCCAAUCUCGAAACCAUAUCUCAGUUGGGAUAGUCGGCUGUAACCCGCCGACUUGAACGUGGAAUCCCUAGUAAUCGCGUGUCAUCAUCGCGCGGUGAAUACGUCUCUGCUCCUUGUACACACCGCCCGUCGCUCCAUCCGAGUAUAGUAAAAUUGAAAAUAUGUCCUGCGGAUUUGUUUGAAAUAGUGCUAUGCAAGGAGGGAGAAGUCGUAACAAGGUA
rnacentral:rRNA from 1 species